rnacentral:rRNA from 1 species
GAUGAACGCUGGCGGCGUGCCUAAUACAUGCAAGUCGAGCGAACAGACGAGGAGCUUGCUCCUCUGACGUUAGCGGCGGACGGGUGAGUAACACGUGGAUAACCUACCUAUAAGACUGGGAUAACUUCGGGAAACCGGAGCUAAUACCGGAUAAUAUAUUGAACCGCAUGGUUCAAUAGUGAAAGACGGUUUUGCUGUCACUUAUAGAUGGAUCCGCGCCGCAUUAGCUAGUUGGUAAGGUAACGGCUUACCAAGGCAACGAUGCGUACCCGACCGGAGAGGGGACUCGGCCACACGGAAGUUGAACACGGUUCCGACCCCCAAGGGGGGGAAGAAGUGGGGAAUCUUCCGCAAGGGGCGAAAGCUUGAGGGAGCACGGCGGGGGGAGUGAUGAAGGUUUUCGGGUGGAAAAACCCGGUUAUUGGGGAAAAAAAAAUGUGUAGGUAACUUUGCCGGUUUUAACGGAACCAAAUAAGAAAGCCACGGUAAACUAGGG